rnacentral:rRNA from 1 species
UACAGAGGUCUCAAGCGUUGUUCGGAUUCAUUGGGCGUAAAGGGUGCGUAGGUGGCGCCGUAAGUCAGGUGUGAAAAUUUCGGAGCUUAACUCCGAAACUGCAUUUGAUACUGCGGUGCUUGAGGGCUGGAGAGGAGACUGGAAUUUACGGUGUAGCAGUGAAAUGCGUAGAGAUCGUAAGGAAGACCAGUGGCGAAGGCGGGUCUCUGGACAGUUCCUGACACUGAGCACGAAGGCCAGGGGAGCAAAC